UUGACAUACUAAGAACUUUCCAGAGAUGGAUUGGUGCCUUCGGGAACUUAGAUACAGGUGCUGCAUGGCUGUCGUCAGCUCGUGUCGUGAGAUGUUGGGUUAAGUCCGCAACGAGCGCAACCCUUUUCCUUAUUUGCCAGCGGGUAAUGCCGGGAACUUUAAGGAUACUGCCAGUGACAAACUGGAGGAAGGCGGGGACGACGUCAAGUCAUCAUGGCCCUUACGGCCAGGGCUACACACGUGCUACAAUGGUCGGUACAAAGGGUUGCUACCUCGCGAGAGGAUGCUAAUCUCAAAAAAGCCGAUCGUAGUCCGGAUCGCAGUCUGCAACUCGACUGCGUGAAGUCGGAAUCGCUAGUAAUCGCGGAUCAGAAUGCCGCGGUGAAUACGUUCCCGGGCCUUGUACACACCGCCCGUCACACCAUGGGAGUUUGUUGCACCAGAAGUAGGUAGUCUAACCGCAAGGAGGACGCUUACCACGGUGUGGCCGAUGACUGGGGUGAAGUCGUAACAAGGUAAGCGUAGAUGA
rnacentral:rRNA from 1 species